GACGAACGCUGGCGGCGUGCUUAACACAUGCAAGUCGAGCGGUAAGGCCCUUUCGGGGGUACACGAGCGGCGAACGGGUGAGUAACACGUGGGUGACCUGCCCUUAGCUCUGGGAUAAGCCUGGGAAACUGGGUCUAAUACCGGAUAUGACUCCAUAACGCAUGUUGUGGGGUGGAAAGCCUUGUGCGGCUAGGGAUGGGCCCGCGGCCUAUCAGCUUGUUGGUGGGGUGAUGGCCACCAAGGCGACGAC
rnacentral:rRNA from 1 species